CACUAGCGUAUAUUAAAGUUGCUGCAGUUAAAAAGCUCGUAGUUGGAUUUCUGGUAUGGCGCGCCUGGUCCACCCCGUAAAGGUGUGUGAGUACCGGCGCGCGCCUACCAUCCUUCCUCGGAGCACGCCUACCCUUCACUGGGUCGGGCGCUUGCGACGUGGAUCAUUUACUUUGAAAAAAUUAGAGUGUUCAAAGCAGGCUUACGCCGUGAAUACAUUAGCAUGGAAUAAUAAGAUAGGACUUUGGUUUUAUUUUGUUGGUUUCUAGGACUGAAGUAAUGAUUGAUAGGGAUAGUUGGGGGUGCUAGUAUUUAGCGGCCAGAGGUGAAAUUCUUGGAUUCGCUAAAGACUAACUAAUGCGAAAGCAUUCACCAAGGAUGUCUUCUUUAA
rnacentral:rRNA from 1 species